GCAAUCGGCAGCCGCUCACUGCAGCUGGAGACCCCAGAACUUGGUGUCUGCCUCCCAUGGCACUGGGAAGGGUGGAGGCAGGUGCUGCAGCUCCACCUCAGAGGGCACUGCUGGAGGCUCCAGGGUCAGGGGUUCAGCUGAGAAAGGAAGCAGACAAUAAGGGCCUCUGGAUUCUCAAACAAACAAGCAAAAAUCCUCCUCUUGGUGCACAGCUCCUCUCAGGCUCCCCAAACUUGGCCUCACUGCUACUGAUUCCUCACAACUGGAUAGUAGCCAAUCUUCCAAGCCACUUUCAGAUAGAGAGCACUGUGGGUGGCUGACAACAGGCCCUCUUUGCUGAUGGGGACACUGAGGCUCAUGGAGAUGACAAGACUUGCCAUCUCCUGGCACAGACCUCUUUCCCUCUGCCUCAAAGCCCUUCCAUCCACCCACCUCCCUGGGGCAUUCUAAGCCACCCCUACAGUCCUCUGAUGCCAGUCCUGCUCCCAGGUCACGCCAGCCCCAUCUUACCCAUCUGGUUUUUCAGUUUGGACAAGCGCCUCUCCAGCUUCUCUACCCGAUGCGUUUCAUGCUUCUUCUCCUUCUUUAAUGUGCGAACCUGCCCAAAGCACAGGGGAAAGGGCCCUGGAGAGAGGGGCUGGAGGCUGGACAGGCUGCUGUCUCCCUCUCUGCCCCCACCUCCACACAGCCCAGACCCAGGACCACCUCCGGCUGUACUAUUCCUAUUUUACAGAUGCCCAGAAAGAUCCAGUGACUUAUCUAAGGUGGGGGGCUGAAGGGUCAGAUCUCACCUCCUGUGACAUUUUCCUCAUCCUCUGCUGCCACCGGGCCCUCUCUUCUUUUAUAUGUUGAGCAUAUUCAUCUCUCUCUAGCCGGAUUUGUUUAAGCAACUCCUUCAACUGCAAGAAAGGGCACAGAAGUUAGGAAGGGCUGUCACUGGUCCUCACCUGCUCCUGGCCACCUGGGGUCAUCUUCCUUCCACAUCCCUCCCUCUGCAAAACCUCACCCGUGUCGCUUGUGUAUUCAGCAGUGCCUGCUCCUGUAUGGACCGCUCUAACUGCCACUCGAUAACUGCUUUACUGCAGCUCGAGGUCUGCUGGUGAAGAGUGAGAAGUUUCGAUCUGGAGAGCCCGGGCCAUUCCACAGUGCCCCUUAAAAGGGUCAGGCUAGGCUCAAUAUACAACUCAGUCAGUAAAGAGCAAGGCCUUUCCAAGCCCGUGGUCUGGUUUUUAAAAGAACUCAGUCAAGUUGGAAGGGACAGGGAAAGAGAUCGAAUUUACAGCUGGCUAAGAGAGGCCCAGAGAGAUCAGAUAAUAUUGCUUUGUUAUGACUGUUAUUGCUACCACUGUUUGAACCUUUAUGGAGUGCUUCACCAGGUACCAUGCUAGCAAUCCCAUUUAAUCCUUGCAACCAGCCUAGGAGACAGUUACUAUGAUUACCUCUAUUGUGUAGGUGAAAACGGAGUAUUCAAGGUUAAGUGCUUGCCUAAGAUCACUUAGGCAGAGCUGGGAUUUGAACACCCAGGUCUAUGCCAUUCUCUAAGCCCAUUUUUCUUGCUGGGGAUGGGGGCACAGAUAGGAAGGGGAAAAUUAAUCUUUUGUUCACAUUUUGAAUGGAUGAUACAUUCGCAUAGUCCAAAACUCAGAAGGUACAGAAGGGAAGUAUCUCCCAGCCACCCUGUUGCUCUCUCCUGCGUUUUUUUAUGAACACUUGCAUACAUGUUUUAUGUAUAUUAUCAUAGUAUGCGCACACACACACACACACACACAGUUUCCUCUGUCUACAGAAAUGGUAACAUAUUAAAGGUACUCUUCUGUACCUUCACAGUACAAGUACCUAAUACCCCACCUAGGACUUGGCCAAGACCACAGCCAGGUAAGGGCAGGGCAGGCACUUGGCCUCCAAGCUCUGCGUCCAGUGCUCUCUUCCCACAGUGGCCCCCAACUCACUCAGAGCAGCUGACUCAGCCCCAGGCUGCUCUAACAACCAUACACAAAAGCAGCGGGAAGUGGCCAUGCUGCAUUCUGGGCAGGACACUCCAUCCUGCAGAAGGGACCUCUAGGCUCACUCCUCCAUCUAGGAAGCCAAGCUGCCAGGGGAUGGGGCACGUGGCUGAACUCACACUCUCCUCCUUCUUCUCCUGUGUGGCAGUGACAGCAGAGAGAGCCCUAACUCUGCUAUACGCUGCAAUGAAUGUUGCAGGUGGAUGGCCAGAUCCUUGGACUCAUCUGUAAUGAGAGAGUUGAGAUGGGGCCCGAGGGACUCUCCCUAAGACAUGUCAAAGUGCCAGGUUGAAAGAUGACAGGGUGCCCAGAUUCCUACCUUCAAAAUAUUUGAGAGAACGUUUCGUGUGAUAUUUAGUUUCCCUUCUGUGUGUUCAAUCUCUGGAUUUGAACCUUCAGGAGAAAAGCCAAGCAAGCGCUGAAAGAGAAGGAAAGAAACAUUCUCCGGAGGACAGGAGGGAACUGCACACCCUCCACUCACCUCUAGCUCCUUUUCAGCUUUGUGUUUCUCAUUGUUUGCUUUCUUUUCCUGUGGGAAGAGGAAGACAGAGCUCUUACCAGGGGGAGGCAGAGAUGGCACAGCAAGAGACAUGCCCCCAGAAUGCCACCAAUGCCCCAGGACAGGCCCAUCCAUGGGACCAGGUUAUCAGGGACCCUGUGGGGAUGGGGUGGAAUCUGAGGGGUGAGCCUUCUUCCCCAGGCUGGGAGUGGGUGAGAUGAGACUGGGGCCUCUACAUCUGAGUGCCCCCCAAACCCAGCAGUCAUGUCAUGAGCAAACAAAGAAAUCACGUUACUUCUUCCA